rnacentral:rRNA from 1 species
UACGUAGGGUGCAAGCGUUAAUCGGAAUUACUGGGCGUAAAGCGUGCGCAGGCGGUUUGUAAGUCUGUCGUGAAAUCCCCGGGCUUAACCUGGGAAUGGCGAUGGAGACUGCAAGGCUAGAGUUUGGCAGAGGGGGGUAGAAUUCCACGUGUAGCAGUGAAAUGCGUAGAGAUGUGGAGGAACACCGAUGGCGAAGGCAGCCCCCUGGGUCAAGACUGACGCUCAUGCACGAAAGCGUGGGGAGCAAACAGG